CCCGAAACAAACCCUUAACCGGAAAUUCAACAAGGAACAGCUUCAACCGCCAACUCUCGAAGGUGUAUUCAAGCUAAAAAAGAAGAAAAUAUAUGGUAAUAUCGAAAGCUUGCAACUGCUAGGUCACAACUUUCAAACUCGUCAACCAUGUUAUUCAAUCGAUAUAAGUAUCAUAUAAGUUAUUUAUCGGAUACCUUACUCACCUGCAUGCCGUGUAUGACAUUUGUACC